CACAGACCCCACGUCAGCCAACCACAGCCACGAAGGCUUAAUCAGUUUCUCAUACAAGGCAGUAACAAUGAGUAGCACAGUGGUGGUCAGGGUGGUGGCCCCAGUGGCUAGCUGAGGGAGUAUGGCCUCCCACACAGAGUUGCGGUCUGGGGCAGAUGCCGUCAGGCCACGACCACAGCCCAGCACUUGCCCCACUCAAUAAAAGGCUGAAGUGCUCUAGUGGGCUGGGCAUCUUGUGCAGAUCCUCCUGGUGGGCACUGGAGGCCAGGGUGAGAAAGAGCCUCCCCGCAAGCCCAGGUCCAGCAUACAAGGUGCCAGAUUUCAGCAAUUCCACAGGGAAGGACGGUGGCCUUCCUCUGCCUGCUCUCUUGGGAAGUGG